GGGGGCGGCUGCCCCGGCCCGGGGUGGGGGGAAGCGCCUGCUUGGCCCUGCCUGCGCCUGGCCGGUGGAGAGCACCCGGCAGCGGCUGCGCCCAGCCUCAGAGCGAGGACGUCUGUUUUGUGGGGUGCUCCCCGAAGGCUCCCUCCCCCGGCUUUUAAAGCUCGGGGAGCUGUUGUGCGGCCUGAGCUUGGGUGGUCUGCUGCAAGGCUUUACUGCGCACGAGGACGCUGCAAGGACUGUUCCUAUCCCUGGCGCGACUUCCUCUCCUCAGCUGUUGUCUGCUCUCCCUCUCUCUUUGACGUCCCUUUCCGGAGGACUGCGUCUAUCUGCGGGUGCAGAGCUGUCCGGAAGCACCCAACUUCCACCAGCUGCCAGCCUGGGGCCACCCCGGGAGGAAGCGAACUGCAGCCACAGCAAGGCAGCAAUGAGGGUGGCAAUCUGACAGCACCUCCAAUGCCUCCCGCUCUGGCCACCGUUCCUGAAUAACUGGGGAGCUCCAGCCGGUCACGUGAAGGGUUGGCUGUCACAGGAGGGAGUGCAGUAAGCCCAGAAACACGUCCACGGUGUCCUGGUCUGACAGGUCCAUCAUGUCCAUCUGCUCCAGCAUGUCCACGUUCACCUCCAUGGAGGAAAUACUGCCUAAGGGAGCUGCAGAGACAGAGGCCAGCAAAAAGGUGAGACAUAGGGAAGAAGAAAUCCACAUCAUGCUGGAAAACCUCCUCAAAGAACUUCUGCCGGUCCCGUAGUUUCAGCUGCUGCUGCUGCAUCUGCUCUGCAUCCAGGCUCCGCUGCGCCUGCUCCAUGUCGGCUGGAGAGAAAGUUCAACGCCAGUGCCUGUGGCCUUGGCUCUCACGAGAGGCCUUGGGCUGUUGCUGAAGGAGCUUGUUGCUUUAUCCCUGGGCCUGGUACCUCCCUUUUGGGUUAUGUACCACAACAGCAAGGGCCCAAAUGGCACAAAGGGGCCGUGGCUGGUGUUCCCAGGCUGGUGUUUGACCGCAGCCAUUCCAGAUUUCCUCUCUGCUGCUCUUGGCCCAGCCAGCAUAAGGAAAAUGUGAUUACUGGAGCAGGCAGUGCAGUAACCAAGGAAACCAAACAAACAUCCUCUGCUCUGCCUGAGCAAGGCCCAAACCCUCCACUCCUCCAGGCUGGGGAGGAGGGAACAGCGAGCAGCAUCUCCACCCUGUCUGGCAGGAGCAAGGGCAAGGACAGCAUGGGGGCUGGCUGGCAGCAGUAUGGAGCAGCAGAGGACCCAAACAGGAGAGAGGUGGUGGGCCUUGGGAGACGUCCUGGAGAUCAGCGACAUAUCUUCCUGAGAGCACUUUCUGGGCUCCUCCUCAGCACCCUGUUUCUGGGGCAUCUUUCAGCUAAACCCCAUCAUCCGCAGCCACCUGCCCCGGGAGGCCGGGCUGUGCCUGCAGCACAGCACGGUGAUGUGCCAUGACUCAGGGCCAGUCACCCCACGCUUUCUGGAAAAGGAUCUGCUCCUCUGCUGCUGCUCCGUGCUGCUUCCUGCGAUGCCCAGGGUGGCAAUGCUGGCUGCCUUGAAGGGGCCUUUGCUCCGGUGUGUCUGUCUGCCCUCAGCACUGAGUGCCUGCUCUGGUGCAGAGGCUGAGUGUGCUGUGCAGCACCUGGCUUUCCUCGCAAGGCUGACUGGCAGCUGCAGCCUGGUGCCGCUGGGGUAAGGCAAAAACCUCCUGCCUCCCCCCGGCUAUCUGCAGGGGAGGAUAGAGCCAGGGACAAGGAGGGGGUGACCCGGGCACUAGUUAUGGAGCUGUCUCCCUUCAGCAGCUGGAGCCCCCCUUGUCCUGUCUGUCCCAGGCAGAGCUCUGCCCCCCAGCCUAGCUGUGCUGAAUCCACAGCAAACCACCGCAGCUCAGCGCACCAAGGAGAGGCCAUUGGGCUCCAGCCAGAGGCAGCCAGGGCUCAGGGCAGAGGCUGUGCCAGCGCCCAGAUGGCUCUCCAUGCCGCAUCUUGCCAAAGGGACCCAGUGUGGAGAUAAUGAGAAGAGUCUCUUAAGUCCUCCUGCAGUGCAAA